rnacentral:rRNA from 1 species
CUCCUACGGGAGGCAGCAGUAGGGAAUCUUCCACAAUGGACGCAAGUCUGAUGGAGCAACGCCGCGUGAGUGAAGAAGGUUUUCGGAUCGUAAAGCUCUGUUGUUGGUGAAGAAGGAUAGAGGUAGUAACUGGCCUUUAUUUGACGGUAAUCAACCAGAAAGUCACGGCUAACUACGUGCCAGCAGCCGCGGUAAUACGU